rnacentral:rRNA from 1 species
GAUGAACGCUGGCGGCGUGCUUAACACAUGCAAGUCGAACGGUAAGGCCCUUCGGGGUACACGAGUGGCGAACGGGUGAGUAACACGUGGGUGAUCUGCCCUGCACUUCGGGAUAAGCCUGGGAAACUGGGUCUAAUACCGGAUAGGACCACUGCCUGCAUGGGUGGGGGUGGAAAGCUUUUGCGGUGUGGGAUGGGCCCGCGGCCUAUCAGCUUGUUGGUGGGGUGAUGGCCUACCAAGGCGACGACGGGUAGCCGGCCUGAGAGGGUGACCGGCCACACUGGGACUGAGAUACGGCCCAGACUCCUACGGGAGGCAGCAGUGGGGAAUAUUGCACAAUGGGCGCAAGCCUGAUGCAGCGACGCCGCGUGAGGGAUGACGGCCUUCGGGUUGUAAACCUCUUUCAGCACCGACGAAGCGCAAGUGACGGUAGGUGCAGAAGAAGGACCGGCCAACUACGUGCCAGCCGCCGCCUAA